rnacentral:lncRNA from 1 species
AGAUCUAGAAAAUGUUUUAUUAUGUUUCAGAGGAUAUUACCUCGCAAUUAUCCUUCUUGUAUUUUUAUAGAGUUUGAACACAACCCUGGUUUUCUAGCUUGCUGAUGUCAAGUUGUCAACCAAGUUAUACAAAAAAUUUGGGGACCUUUUCUUUCUCUUUUGUUUAAAUAUGAAACUCUCAAUUGUACGGCUGCUUUCACUUCUAAUUGAUAUUUGUAUUCA